rnacentral:rRNA from 1 species
AUUGAACGCUGGCGGCAUGCCUUACACAUGCAAGUCGAGCGCGAAAGGGGGCAACCCCGAGUAGAGCGGCGGACGGGUGAGUAACACAUCGGAACGUGCCCAGUAGUGGGGGACAACCUCGAGAAAUCGAGGCUAAUACCGCAUACGACCCACGGGUGAAAGCGGGGGACCGCAAGGCCUCGCGCUAUUGGAGCGGCCGAUGUCCGAUUAGCUAGUUGGCGGGGUAAGAGCCCCACC